GGACCCUAGUGAUGGUGGACCUCCCCCCCCUCUCCUGUCUCACCGCUCCCUCCUUCCUGAGGAGGAGCUGCGAUCGGAUUGGCUGAAACGUUCCCCCAGUCUCUCUCGUUCUGUUGAGUUAUUUUAAUAAGCUACGAGCUGAUUAAACCAAAGACACCUUUGGGAGAAAAAUUAAGUUCAUCUUGGAUCCAGCCGUCCUACGAUGGAGCAGAACCUUUGGGUGGAGACGGCAACGAGCCUCAGACGGACACCAAGAUGCUUUGGGCCCAAAGAGAGGCAGAGGAAAAUAAAAGCGUCCAAUCAAUAACAGAACAGGAGAACUCUAAACGCUGCAGGAGAGAGGAUCCGGAAUCCCAUCCCGCCGUCCCGGGUGGAAGGCAGGACAGCUGCAGGAGCCGAACUCUCCAGGUUCCGCUCCGGGAUCGCUGCCGGGAUCGACGUGAGCGUUCAUAAUAAAUGGAAUCGUUUUUUUGUCGUUGAGCUUCUUCACGCCAACUGGCCAAUUAAAGCAGCUGCUGGAACCUCGGCUGGAACCGCAGUCAGGAGCAAACUCCGCGGCAAGAGGAAGACAGACGGCGCGGGCUGCUAUGAAAUGCAGCUUUUGUACCGGGACGUGUUUCCAUGGUUACACAAUUUUUCAUGGAGACGUUAUACGUCCUGAAAAUUGGAGGAGAGCCGCGAUAAGAUUAGUAUCUAAUCUCCAAGGAGAUAUAUGGGUUGAUGGACUGUGUCUGAGAGGGAACAAAAUAAAACAAAUAAAGCACAAACGGAACUCGAAAAAAACUUAUGCUGCUAAUAAAACAAAUGUCGUCCGCUGGUAGAAAGUUCAUACUGAGUUUGCCUGCGGCUCGCAGAAUAGCUGGAGAGAAGGACGGAUUGAUGAAUAGAAGACUAGAUCAUGAAUCCCAAAGGGCAGCGCUGGGCCUCUGAGCUCCAUGCUGCUCCUCACGGUGACGACACGUCAGGGGGAGAGAGGGCCGACUCUAACCAGAGUGGAGACCAACAGGAGCUCUUACAUCGGGAGGAUUGAGACAUACCUACACAAGCUGUGUGGCCCCGUCAAGCCUUCUGUCUCCCCACCACACACACCGUUGCCAUGGCGACAGAUGAGGCUCCCAGCUGGGGGUGGGGGGGAUGACAUCAGCGGGUCCAGCUGCCCCGUGCCCACGCCAUGUGGGAACCUAAUGGGCCCAGCACCACUUCCUGGACACCGACCAAUGGGAAGGCUCGGAAUCUGUCGGCCGCCACUCGAUUCAGCGGCCCGCUGUAAUCAGAGGGACGCCAUUCACACCGGGGGUUCACACACACACAUACGCAUGGACGCGU
ensembl:lncRNA